GAGACGGAGGUGUCCUUUUUGCCACCGAAGGCCACUCCAAAGGUUUUUUUUUUUUUGGAGAACUGGUCUCCUUAAGAAGCGCAGGGACCGGACCCCUGGUCCACAACUCAGAACCGCAACCUGUUGCCUUGGUUCACAGUUUUCCUCCAAGGCUCGGCGUUCAGGCUGUGACUUUUUCUUUUCUUUUUUUUCCCCCAACCUUUCUUCCUCCUGUUAACUGUGGCGAUUUUUUUUUUUCCUCUUUUUCAUCAAAAAAAACCCUUUUCCAUUCAUUCUGAGUCACACGGGAUUGCCGGUCAUGAUUCCACUGGUACUGUCUCUCUGGAAACAUCUCCAGCGCUGCACCAGACUACAUCACUGGACAUGUGCACAAUUUUUACCACCUUAUUUCCAAAAAAAACACCAUCCAACAACAUCCUGUUGCGCUUGAAUUAUCUGUGCUCUUAAAAAAAGACGGUUCUUCAGGGGUUCCUAAGUAAAAGCAGUGGCUCUGUUUAGAAUUACGAGCUCUAUCUUGAGGCAUUUCAUGCUUAAGUGGUUCUCUGCAUGGUGAAAUGGCUCUUCAGAUUGAUGGAGAAUGUAUUGCGUGUGGUUCUACAUAGCACCUUUUUGGAAAAUGGUUCCACUAUUGUUACAAACUCGACAUGGUUCUGCAUAGAACCGCUUUCAACGCAUUCUCCGUCGAUCUGAAGUACCUUUUCACCAGGCAAAGAACCUCUUAAGCAUGCAAUUGGUUCUUUGAAUGUUCAUGGUUCUAAAAAAAGAUGGUUCUUCAGGGGUUCUUUAGUAAAGGAAGUUGUUCUGUUUAGAAUCACGAGCUCUAUGUCGAAGCAUUUCAUGCUGGUGAAAAGGUUCUUCAGAUCGAUGGAGAAUGUGUUGAAAACGGUUCUAUACAGAACCAUGUCGAGUUUGUAACAACAGAGGAACCAUUUUUGGCACCAUUUUCCAAAAAGGUGCUAUGUAGAACCAUAGGCAACACAUUCUCCAUCAUUUUACCAUGCAGAGGACAUUCUUUGAAUGUUCAUGAUUCUCAACAGAACCAUUGUCUUUACUUGAGAACCCUAGAAGAGCCACCUUCACCGAAGACGCACCCUUAGGGGUACCGCCCAGUGACACUUCAGGGUAUAAUCAUUUUGCUGCUUUGGCUCUGCCUGGCAAUUCAAACGAACCAUGUUAUGUUUUCUCAAUGAGAUUAAACUGCAAACUGUGCUUAGCUAAGAAGGAGUCAACACAGAUCAAUCGCCUUAAACCCCUUUAUUGUUUCAGACAAGCGUGUGAUGUCAUCUCAAAGGGGAGGGGGAGUGGAGAUUGGUGAUUUCCCCAAGGCCUAUUUCACAGAUUCCUGUAAUUGAGUUUCUUACUGGCUGGGCAGGAUGGCCUUGGUCUGGUCAACCAUGAAC